UGGCCGCAGAGAGCGCCCUUUGCAUUCUGUUGAGUGGGCCAAGGAUAAGCCUGGGCCCUGGCAGGGUGCAGGAUUCUGUCCUGAGAUAGCUCCCCUCCCUUUCCCGUCUUCCAGCCCGAGGGGCCUUUCUGUCCUGGAGCCAGGAAACAUUAUCUACUUCUGAC
rnacentral:lncRNA from 1 species